GCACUUGCCAGUUGUGAUGGUUUUAUUUCCUUUAUAGAAAAUUUGUUUGCAACCAAUGGCUUGCUACCUAAAGAAAAGCCUGUAAAAAUGCCUCUUCUUCUUGCUCUAAGCCCUCUCUUGGAAUGUAAUAUUUUUACUAUGGACUAUUGAACUUCUUAUCAUUUUCGAGAUCCCCACUAUGAACUUCUUAUGACAACUGUAGAUUCAGUGUCCAAUGCAAGUAUUGUCCUUUUACUAUAGUCAAUUUUAGGGACCUCUUGACACUUGAGGGCUAGAAGCUGCAAAUUCAUGAGAGCUUAGAUGUAAGUACUCCUUUGGAUAUUUUUUCUCUGAUUUCUGAACAGGUUUUUGUAACAGUGAAAAUUUAUUGCUGCCUAUAGCGUGGAGUGUAUGUGUCCUGUUUGAGCUUCGCCAGCUUGUAGAAGGCACAUUUCUGUCCCUACAUUUUAUUUUUCACCAAUGGCGAAACUUGUGUAGCCGUUUGUCACUAUUUACUUUUUUGUUUUUUUCAGCGAACAUGCAUUUUGGAGAGACCAACUUGAAUGUGCGGAGCAGUCGAUCACACAGUAUUUUCAUAAUGGUAUAGAAUUCUGAAUUCCUAAGCAAUUUUGUAAUUGCAGCUGUUCUAAGACCAUUUUUGUAGUUGAAUGGAAGCGAUAACUGAAUCAAGAAUGUUCUAUUUAUAUCGGUCUCAGGUAAUUGUGAGCAGCAGUAGAGACUAAGCAGUUCUGUAAUUGGAUUUGUUCUAAGACCAUUUUCUGUAGUUGCAUGGAAGCAAUAACUGAAUCAAGAAUGCUCUAUUUAUAUCGAUCUCAGCUAUUCUAAGACCACUGCUAUUUUGUAAUAGAUGUCAGUGCUUAUUACUGGUCAAUCCUCCUCAGCUACACUCAAAUCUGAAGUUCGUUCAUCUCUUUAGAAGAGAAACAAAGCUAAUUUCAGAAGUCGAAUAUUACCUGACUAACCUCAUUUUAGCAGAGAUGUUUAUAAUAGAUGUCAGUGCUCACUCGCUCUCAAUGGAGGAAAGUGAGUUUCAGAAACAUAUGGAAUCAGCAAGACUAGCUACUCAAGUAUCUAUUGCAAGCCCAAGUAGCUCACAUGGGCUUCCCACAUCUGCAAGGGCAAAUCAGGAGGAAACUGAUAUGGCAGGUACGGAUGAGGGAUAUCCGUGGUCAAGUUUGAUGCUUCAGGACCAAUAUCGUUGCAUGUCGAUGUUGGUGGUAUCUGAAUGGGGGUAAAGAUAUAGAGAGGGAUUUUUUUCUUCAAAUGAUGAUUUAUCGUUGCGUGUCGAUGCUGGUGUUAUCUGAAUGGGGGUAUGCGGUCGGCGCUCAUGCGACACAGACCCACGAUUCUCCUUGGACGUCGGCCGCAUGUCAGUCGGUGACAUGGGCUUGAAGCCUAGGACGAGCCCCGU